GUUUGCAGCGUCGGUUCAAGUCACAUGGAAAAGUGCUCCAUUGAGGGUGACAGACCCGUACGACCGACCGAUUGGAUACCAGACGAGCACUCCCUAGAGUCUUUGUCGCAAAUGCAGCCCUAAGCAGGUGGUAAGCUCCAUCUAAAGCUAAAUAUAACCACAAGACCGAUAGUCAACAAGUACAGUGAUGGAAAGUUGAAAAGUACUCUGAAGAGAGAGUCAAAUAGCCCGUGAAGCUGCUAUCUAUGGGAUUAAGCGCACGUGUGGCACGUGUCGUUCAGCAAAUAGGCGGUGGCUGGUGGCCAGUAUGUGUUCUGCUUGCGCAUCAGUGUCGCCAAUGUGCGUGCUGCCAGUUGUUCGCUUCCCUUUGUCGAACAUUGACAGGUCGAGGCCUCGUUGAUUUGGUCCAAUUGUUGUCAAGCCGCUCCCAGUGGUCGCUGUAUUCCUACAGUGGCGAUGUUGUGCUGAAUGUGCGAUCGUUUACGACGGCGGCACUGUAGCUGGUGUGUGCAAGCGACUGUUCAACGGCUGGCGCGGUGUUGUGCACUGUCGGCUUAUGUGCUGUCACGUGCGGCCCGUCUUGAAACACGGACCAAGGAGUCUAACAUGUGAGCAAGCGAUUGAGUUAUUGUCUAAGCUCAAACGCACAAUGAAAGUGAAGUGCCACCUUGUGGUAUGAGCGGAGAUCAUUAUCGAAUUUAUUUGAUGAUGCCCAUCCGCGGGCCGCGCCAUCGGCUAGCUUGAUCACUCUCUUUCACUGCUGAGGCGCGGACCAAGAGUUGACACGUUGUGACCCGAAAGAUGGUG
rnacentral:rRNA from 1 species